GGUGACUAGUGACAGAGGGAGUGACUAGUGACAGAGUGAGGGAGGGGGUGACUGUCACUAGUCACCCCAUCCCUCUCUCUGUCACUAGUCACUCCCUCCCUAACUGUCACUGU